rnacentral:rRNA from 1 species
AUGGAGGUCUUCGGCCCCGUCACCCCCGGCCAGGUGUCAUUUUUACUUGGUCUUUUCCCGGUCCUCAUUGCAUGGGUCUACUCCGAGAUCCUGGAGUACAAGAAAUCUUCGUUACAUGGGAAAGUUCACUCAGAUGCUACUUUGGAAAAUGAAACUUCCAAGGAAGAUGAGAAGGCUAUAUUAAUUGAAGGAGGCCAGUUGAAAUCACCAUCGGCCAAAUUCCGGAACAUGUCUACCAAAGCCAAUUUAAUACGGUUUAUAACAAUGGACGAGCCUUUUCUGCUUGAAAACCGUGCUGUACUGAGAGCCAUGGCUGAAUUUGGCAUUGUGCUGGUUUACUUUUACAUUUGUGACCGGACAAACAUAUUUCCAGAAAGCAAGAAGAACUACAACAGAGACCUGUUUCUGUUUCUGUACAUUCUUCUCAUCAUAGCAUCAGCACUUACUUCACUUAAGAAGCACCAGGAGAAAUCAGCAUUUUCUGGAAAGUCCAUACUCUAUCUUAAUCGCCACCAAACUGAGGAAUGGAAAGGGUGGAUGCAGGUCUUAUUUCUGAUGUACCACUAUUUUGGCGCGUCAGAAAUAUACAAUGCAAUUCGUGUUUUCAUUGCUUGCUAUGUUUGGAUGACUGGAUUUGGGAAUUUCUCGUACUAUUAUAUCAAGAAAGAUUUUAGCAUUGCAAGAUUUGCACAGAUGAUGUGGAGGCUAAAUUUCUUUGUGGCUUUCUGUUGCAUUGUCCUUGACAAUGAUUUUAUGUUGUACUAUAUCUGCCCAAUGCACACCCUAUUUACACUUAUGGUGUACGCAUCACUUGGCCUGUUUAACAAGUAUAAUGAGAUACCAUCAGUUAUGGCUAUUAAGAUUGCUGGCUGCUUCUUGGCCGUCAUUUUGAUUUGGGAAGUUCCUGGGGUAUUCGAAAUUUUGUGGGCCCCCUUUACGUUCCUGCUUGGCUAUAAAGAUCCAGAGCCUUCUAAGUCACACUUACCCUUAUUGCAUGAGUGGCAUUUCCGAUCUGGGCUUGAUCGGUACAUUUGGAUUAUUGGAAUGAUUUAUGCCUACUUCCACCCUAAUGUGGAAAGAUGGAUGGAGAAGCUGGAAGAAUCUGAGACUAAGGUUAGGUUGUCGAUCAAGGGUACCAUUGUGACUCUUUCGGUCCUGGCUGGCUAUCUGUGGUAUGAAUAUAUCUACAGGCUGGAUAAAAUUACGUACAACAAGUACCAUCCCUACACGUCAUGGAUUCCUAUCACUGUAUAUAUUUGCCUACGCAAUUGCACCCAGCAGUUGAGGGGCGCUUCUUUGGCUCUCUUCGCUUGGCUUGGCAAGGUCACACUGGAGACUUAUAUUUCCCAGAUCCACAUUUGGCUCAGGUCUAGUGUACCAAAUGGGCAGCCCAAAUGGCUUCUGUCUUUCAUACCGGGCUACCCGAUGCUUAACUUCAUGCUAACGACAUCAAUCUAUCUUUUGCUAUCAUACCGGGUAUUUGAGAUCACAAACGUGCUGAGGGCAGCCUUCAUUCCCAGCAGAGACAACAACCGCCUGUACCAGAAUUUCGUUGCGGGGGUUGCCAUCUCCGUAUGUCUGUAUUGCUGCUCGCUCGUUCUUCUAAAAAUUCCGGCUGUAUAG